UCAAAAUGAAAUAUAAAAAAGUUUGCUUUUUUAUUUCUUUUUUUGUAAGUCUUUAUUUUGCUUUUCAUAUUAAUAGGGGGAUUCAUCCAAAUGUCAUAUGUAUAUUAACACUCUUGUAUUCAGUAGUUCCACAUACAUUACUGCUAUGAACUUCUAACUUUCUUAUCAUUAAUUAAGCUAUGUUUUUUUGUCUUUCGCUUUUAUUAACAUUGUAUUGCUACUGAACAGAAUAUAGUAAUAACAGUAAAAGUGGGAUUGGUUAGAAAUUGGAAAGUGGGGUUAAGGCAAGGGUGUAGGGUAGUAAGGGAGUAGUGAAUUGUAUAGGUAUGGAAGCAGCUUUUUCUUUGUCUUUGUUGACUACUGUGUGUCUCUUCUGUUCAUGGAAAUUAAGUGUGUGGUUCAUCUGGGCUCUGAGUUAGUGUGCUGUAUCCAAUCUUCCCAUACUAUUCGGAAUGCUUUAGUUGUCCCAUUUUUUAUUGCUGUUCAUUCUCCCAUUAUCUUUGUAUUUUCUAAUUCUCUUAUCCAUUCAAUUUUACUCAGUGCUUCCUGACUUCUCCCGCGUUUUGGAAUCACCGCUCUUGCUGCUUGUAGCAUAUGAAUUAUGAGUUUAUACUUUUUGUGUGUUGUUAUCUAGACUGAAUAGUACUGUCUCUAUACUUUUUGGUGAACUUCUUAGGUCUUAGCUCUUCAAUUGUAUCAAACACUUCUCUCUUCACGCAGGAACCAGAUUUGACUGAAUGAUCCUUCUACCUUGUUGCAUCUCCAACACUUCUCUGAUACAUUUUCAUAUAUUUUGUGUACAUUUUGCGGAGUUCUGUACCAUCUGCUUAUUAGUUUGUAAUUUGUUUCCUGUGCUCUCGUUGAUUUUGUACCUUUAUGCACAUGGGCUAAGCCUUCCCAAACCAGCACAGUAAAUGUCCUUAAAACGGGGGGAUUUGAAAGACUGAUUUUAGCAAUACCUUGCUAUAGAACGCAGUAACUUUGUUUCACUUGCAGCUCCCGUAGUCUCACACAGGCUGAGAGAUCAGCUGACUGGGGAACGGGAGGGGAGUGGGCGGGACCUGCACAGCUCAGAGCUGAUCUCUCUGGAAGAAACGCUGUAUGCUAAAUGGAAGCUCAGGUUUAGCCAUGUGCAGCAUCUCCAGGACUACAUCUCAACCACCUAUAAUGAGACAAAGUGUUCAUUAGCACCAUGUUCAUUAAUAAUAUGUGCAGCAGUCUUCUGGUUGUCUUGCCUACAUAUUGCUUGCCACACUGACAAGUGACAUCAGCGAGCGACUUGGAUGUGAGCCAAGGAGAAGAACAGGAGGAGAUGGAUUACCACACAAACAGGAGGAAGAAGGAAAGAGAAGAAAUACAGGCACGAGGGGAGGAGGUUCUAUGCAGAAAAAGGGAAACAAGGUCAAAGAAAGGAAGAGAGAAGGGCAUAGUAAAGUACAGAUAGAUCCCAGUGGGAAGGAAAUUGAUGAUCUGGUAAUCAAUUUAUCUGACUAUACUCUGACUGAUGGAGAGAAAGCAUUAUUUAAUAAAGGCUUAUCUUUUUGCC